rnacentral:rRNA from 1 species
GGGUUGUGAGGUUAAGCGACUAAGCGUACACGGUGGAUGCCCUGGCAGUCAGAGGCGAUGAAGGGCGUGCUAAUCUGCGAUAAGCGCCGGUAAGGUGAUAUGAACCGUUAUAACCGGCGAUACCCGAAUGGGGAAACCCAGUGUGACUCGUCACACUAUCAUUAACUGAAUCCAUAGGUUAAUGAGGCGAACCGGGGGAACUGAAACAUCUAAGUACCCCGAGGAAAAGAAAUCAACCGAGAUUCCCCCAGUAGCGGCGAGCGAACGGGGAGGAGCCCAGAGCCUGAAUCAGCAUGUGUGUUAGUGGAAGCGUCUGGAAAGGCGCGCGAUACAGGGUGACAGCCCCGUACACAAAAGCGCAUGUGCUGUGAGCUCGAUGAGUAGGGCGGGACACGUGGUAUCCUGUCUGAAUAUGGGGGGACCAUCCUCCAAGGCUAAAUACUCCUGACUGACCGAUAGUGAACCAGUACCGUGAGGGAAAGGCGAAAAGAACCCCGGCGAGGGGAGUGAAAAAGAACCUGAAACCGUGUACGUACAAGCAGUGGGAGCACAGGUUUACCUGUGUGACUGCGUACCUUUUGUAUAAUGGGUCAGCGACUUAUAUUCUGUAGCAAGGUUAACCGAAUAGGGGAGCCGGAGGGAAACCGAGUCUUAACCGGGCGUUAAGUUGCAGGGUAUAGACCCGAAACCCGGUGAUCUAGCCAUGGGCAGGUUGAAGGUUGGGUAACACUAACUGGAGGACCGAACCGACUAAUGUUGAAAAAUUAGCGGAUGACCUGUGGCUGGGGGUGAAAGGCCAAUCAAACCGGGAGAUAGCUGGUUCUCCCCGAAAGCUAUUUAGGUAGCGCCUCGUGAAUUCAUCUCCGGGGGUAGAGCACUGUUUCGGCUAGGGGGCCAUCCCGGCUUACCAACCCGAUGCAAACUGCGAAUACCGGAGAAUGUUAUCACGGGAGACACACGGCGGGUGCUAACGUCCGUCGUGAAGAGGGAAACAACCCAGACCGCCAGCUAAGGUCCCAAAGUCAUGGUUAAGUGGGAAACGAUGUGGGAAGGCCCAGACAGCCAGGAUGUUGGCUUAGAAGCAGCCAUCAUUUAAAGAAAGCGUAAUAGCUCACUGGUCGAGUCGGCCUGCGCGGAAGAUGUAACGGGGCUAAACCAUGCACCGAAGCUGCGGCAGCGACGCUGAUGCGUUGUUGGGUAGGGGAGCGUUCUGUAAGCCUGCGAAGGUGGCCUGUGAGGGUUGCUGGAGGUAUCAGAAGUGCGAAUGCUGACAUAAGUAACGAUAAAGCGGGUGAAAAGCCCGCUCGCCGGAAGACCAAGGGUUCCUGUCCAACGUUAAUCGGGGCAGGGUGAGUCGACCCCUAAGGCGAGGCCGAAAGGCGUAGUCGAUGGGAAACGGGUUAAUAUUCCCGUACUUGGUGUUACU